CUCUUACCAGCGGGAAGUCAUCAGGAUCAAUCCAGAUGAUACUGAGGUCGGGGUUCUCAGUGUUGUCUUGGGCCACAGCCUUGAGAGUCUCUAAGAACUCAUAACCAUCUUGGAGGGAGCAGAAGUAAGAAAAGUGAGGAGGAACAGACAGGAAAGGGACACAGGAAACGAGUCCAGACCGAUUUCCCUACCUCCUACGACACCAACACCUUUCAAGCCCUAGGCUGCUUGCAAACUCCCAGGAAUGCCUUCCAUGUGAGGCCUACGAUCCAACAAAUACACCCCCUUCCCCCCGGCCGCUCCAGUGUCCUCUCCUCACCAGGAUCUGCUUCCUCUGCAAAGGCGACAAUGUGGAUUCCAUCCAGGUCAUCCUCCUGUUGGAGGGGAUCCUGUCAGCUCCAGAGUUUGAGUCAGCCUUGUCAUAUUCAUUGUCAUGCCUGUCACUUGAGACCUGACAUGGUCUUCGGUACAGAAACAAAACAAAUAAAAACCAACCCACAUGC
rnacentral:lncRNA from 1 species